rnacentral:lncRNA from 1 species
AUUCAUAUUUUACUAAAUUACUUUCAUUUUAUAACCGUUCGAGCUAUCUAGUUUGGGAUCAAGAAACAAACCCGCUUGUUGGGGACGGUAUUUUAGUUCCAACCACAUCAAACAUUGGAGAACUAUUAUCUUCUUUUCAUUCCUGGUCUUUCAACUUGCCAAAGCUUGUUACUUGUAAGUGUUUGAUGUAUACUCAGAAAUUCAAGAAAAGAAUGGGAAUAAGAAACCAAGUUUGGUACUAUGUUUACUUUGAUCCUUCAACUUAUCUGUCUAACGAUUGAAUGAAAAUUAUUCUUUAUGGCCUCUCAAAAUUUUAAUAGUCCAUUUUUUUUUACUUACAUGAAAUGACCCUUCGACCUAAACAUAUUA